AGAGUUUGAUCCUGGCUCAGGACGAACGCUGGCGGUGUGCUUAACACAUGCAAGUCGAACGGUAAGGCCCUUUCGGGGGUACACGAGUGGCGAACGGGUGAGUAACACGUGAGUAACCUGCCCUCAUCUCUGGGAUAACAGUCGGAAACGGUUGCUAAUACUGGAUAUGAGCUUGCAAGGCAUCUUGUGGGUUGGAAAGAUUUUUUUGGUUGGGGAUGGACUCGCGGCCUAUCAGCUUGUUGGUGAGGUAGUGGCUCACCAAGGCUUCGACGGGUAGCCGGCCUGAGAGGGCGACCGGCCACAUUGGGACUGAGAUACGGCCCAAACUCCUACGGGAGGCAGCAGUGGGGAAUAUUGCACAAUGGACGGAAGUCUGAUGCAGCAACGCCGCGUGCGGGAUGACGGCCUUCGGGUUGUAAACCGCUUUCAAUUGUGACGAAGCUUUUUUGUGACGGUAGCAGUAGAAGAAGCACCGGCUAACUACGUGCCAGCAGCCGCGGUGAUACGUAGGGUGCGAGCGUUGUCCGGAUUUAUUGGGCGUAAAGAGCUUGUAGGCGGUUUGUCGCGUCGGGAGUGAAAACUUGGGGCUUAACCCUGAGCUUGCUUUCGAUACGGGCUGACUUGAGGGAGGUAGGGGAGAAUGGAAUUCCUGGUGGAGCGGUGGAAUGCGCAGAUAUCAGGAGGAACACCGGUGGCGAAGGCGGUUCUCUGGACCUUUCCUGACGCUGAGAAGCGAAAGCGUGGGGAGCGAACAGGCUUAGAUACCCUGGUAGUCCACGCCGUAAACGGUGGGUACUAGGUGUGGGGGACAUUCCACGUUCUCCGUGCCGUAGCUAACGCAUUAAGUACCCCGCCUGGGGAGUACGGCCGCAAGGCUAAAACUCAAAGGAAUUGACGGGGCCCCGCACAAGCGGCGGAGCAUGCGGAUUAAUUCGAUGCAACGCGAAGAACCUUA
rnacentral:rRNA from 1 species